GGAAACGUAUCCUUGGGAGU
rnacentral:misc_RNA from 1 species